rnacentral:lncRNA from 1 species
GAGGCGGCGGCAUUGAGAGGAAGAAGAAAAUAAAGAGGGGGAAGGAGAGGAUGAGUGAGAGAGGAAGAGGCGGGAUGAGGAUUUUGGGGAAAAAAGUGUGAUUUAAAUGAGGGUAUUUUGGUCCAAAAAAUAGCUUCCUGAUAUAGCUGAAAACAAUGUUUUCGAAACGCUCCAAAAGUUGUUUUAGAGCUUCUUCCCACAAGCUGUUUUCAGCU